rnacentral:sRNA from 1 species
AUGCCCAUCGCCAUCCAGCUCAGCCAGACCCCUGGGCCAGAUUGCCCCAUCUUCCUGCCCAGUGAUUCUGAGUGGGACUGGCUGCUAGCCAAGACGUGGGUACGCUAUGCGGAGUUCUACAGCCACGAGGCCAUCGCCCACCUGCUGGAGACCCACCUCAUUGCUGAGGCCUUCUGCCUGGCCUUGCUGAGGAACCUGCCCAUGUGCCACCCCCUCUACAAGCUCCUCAUCCCCCAUACCCGAUACACCGUCCAGAUCAACAGCAUUGGCCGGGCCGUUCUCCUCAAUGAGGGGGGGCUCUCUGCCAAGGGCAUGUCCCUGGGCGUGGAAGGCUUUGCUGGGGUGAUGGUACGGGCUCUGUCGGAGCUCACCUAUGACAGCCUCUACCUCCCCAAUGACUUUGUGGAGCGUGGGGUCCAGGACCUGCCUGGAUAUUACUACCGCGAUGACAGCUUGGCGGUGUGGAAUGCACUGGAGAAAUGGAGUUCACCGCCUGGAUGCCCAACUUCCCAGCGUCCAUGCGGAAUCCACCGAUUCAGACUAAGGGGCUGACCACUCUGGAGACCUUCAUGGACACGUUGCCGGAUGUGAAGACCACGUGCAUCACGCUGCUGGUGCUCUGGACCCUCAGCCGAGAGCCUGAC